AACGUAGGACGCAAGCGUUAUCCGGAGUUACUGGGCGUAAAGGGCGUGUAGGCGGCUUUUCAAGUUCGUCGUGAAAGACCCCGGCUAAACCGGGGGAGGUCGAGGGAGACUGAGAAGCUAGAGGGCGGUAGAGGGACAGGGAAUUCCGGGUGUAGUGGUGAAAUGCGUAGAGAUCCGGAGGAACACCAGUGGCGAAGGCGCUGUCCUGGGCCGCAACUGACGCUGAAACGCGAAAGCAUGGGGAGCGAACAGG
rnacentral:rRNA from 1 species